rfam:Canis lupus familiaris chromosome 20, whole genome shotgun sequence.
UUGAUAGUGAUUAAAUAUCAAGAACUGAUAUUUAGCAUGGCCCCUGUGCAAGGAUGAAAUGCAGAUUCAUGAAGCAUUCCAUAUUUUU